GACGAACGCUGGCGGCGUGCUUAACACAUGCAAGUCGUACGGUAAGGCCCUUUCGGGGGUACACGAGUGGCGAACGGGUGAGUAACACGUGAGUAACCUGCCCACAACUUUGGGAUAACGCUAGGAAACUGGUGCUAAUACUGGAUAUGUGCUCCUGCUGCAUGGUGGGGGUUGGAAAGCUCCGGCGGUUGUGGAUGGACUCGCGGCCUAUCAGCUUGUUGGUGGGGUAGUGGCCUACCAAGGCGGCGACGGGUAGCCGGCCUGAGAGGGUGACCGGCCACAGUGGGACUGAGAUACGGCCCAGACUCCUACGGGAGGCAGCAGUGGGGAAUAUUGCACAAUGGGCGCAAGCCUGAUGCAGCAACGCCGCGUGCGGGAUGACGGCCUUCGGGUUGUAAACCGCUUUCAGCAGGGACGAAGCUUUUUGUGACGGUACCUGCAGAAGAAGCACCGGCUAACUACG
rnacentral:rRNA from 1 species